rnacentral:rRNA from 1 species
CUACGGGCCGCACCAGUGAGGAAUAUUGCACAAUGGGGGAAACCCUGAUGCAGCAACGCCGCGUGGAGGAUGACGCAUUUCGGUGUGUAAACUCCUUUUAUGAGUCAAGAAAAUGACGGUAGCUCAUGAAUAAGCACCGGCUAACUCCGUGCCAGCAGCCGCGGUAAUACGGAGGGUGCAAGCGUUACUCGGAAUCACUGGGCGUAAAGGACGCGUAGGCGGGUUGUCAAGUCAGGUGUGAAAUCCUACAGCUUAACUGUAGAACUGCACUUGAAACUGGCAACCUAGAGUAUGGGAGGGGGAGAUGGAAUUAGUGGUGUAGGGGUAAAAUCCGUAGAUAUCACUAGGAAUACCGAAAGCGAAGGCGAUCUCCUGGAACAUUACUGACGCUAAGGCGUGAAAGCGUGGGGAGCAAACAGGAUUAGAUACCCUCGAAGUC